rnacentral:rRNA from 1 species
AGGUAGUAAUAUUAUUCUAAAAAACCUAAUUAUUUUGGCGGCAUUUACUCUUAUCAGAGGAACUUGUUACAUAAUCGACAAUCCACGAUAAAUUUCACUUUAUUUAAAAAUUUAUAUACCGCCAUCAUUAUGAAUUUUUUUUUAAAACAAUUCUUAAUAUAUUUUAAAAAGUUAGGUCAAGGUGUAAUAUAUAAUAAAGCACUAAUGAGUUACAUUAAAUAUUAUUUAAAAUAAUAAACUCAAAAUUUUAAUAUAAAGGAUUUGAAAGUAAUCUAUUAUAUAAUAAUAAUUUAUUAUGAAAAAGAAAAAAAAUGUGC